rnacentral:tRNA from 1 species
GGGAGAUUAGCUUAAUGGUAAAGGGAACGGCUUAUACCCGUUUAAAGCGGAGCCUAGAUAAGACUCUGUUACUGGUUCGAGUCCAGUAUCUCCCACCA